CAAUGGAUGGCAGUACAAAGAGUUGCUUUGUGCCGUUUGAAGUACCUGGAGGGUGCUAGUGAAGGGAGAGAGGUGGGAGAGAAGGGAAGGAGUGGAUACAGACCUCUGUCCUGAGACCCAUGAGUGUGCGCUGGUGGAAAGACAGCCUUCUCUGUGGAAAUGAAGAUGAGAGUCCGUGGAGGGAAAAUAAUUGAGACUUGGGUACUUAACCUGAACUGAAAGAGUAAAGGGUGUGGUGAUGAUGCAACCAUGUCCCCAGUUGUCAAAGCCAGAAAGCAUGGAUGAAUCCUUGAUUCCCCCUCCCCGCAUCAUGCCUCAACCAAUUGAUCACAGCUCUGCUAUCACUCUUGCCCUCUGUGAUAUAAUAAAUACAUAUUUUCAUCCACGUUCCUAUGUUCCUGGCAUGCAGCUCUUAAACUCUUUGGAAUUUCGUAAGUGAUAAGACAUACAAAGAUGUAAAGAGACUCUUGUUAUUCCUAACCAGCCUCUUUCAGCCACACCUGAGUUUAUGUAAAUGAAGUGAUUUUUGGAAAGCUCCUAG